rnacentral:rRNA from 1 species
CUUGCUGGGGGAUUAGUGGCGAACGGGUGAGUAACACGUGAGUAACCUGCCCUUGACUCUGGGAUAAGCCUGGGAAACUGGGUCUAAUACCGGAUACGACCAUCUGGCGCAUGUCAUGGUGGUGGAAAGCUUUUGUGGUUUUGGAUGGACUCGCGGCCUAUCAGCUUGUUGGUGGGGUAAUGGCCUACCAAGGCGACGACGGGUAGCCGGCCUGAGAGGGUGACCGGCCACACUGGGACUGAGACACGGCCCAGACUCCUACGGGAGGCAGCAGUGGGGAAUAUUGCACAAUGGGCGCAAGCCUGAUGCAGCGACGCCGCGUGAGGGAUGACGGCCUUCGGGUUGUAAACCUCUUUCAGUAGGGAAGAAGCGAAAGUGACGGUACCUGCAGAAGAAGCGCCGGCUAACUACGUGCCAGCAGCCGCGGUAAUACGUAGGGCGCAAGCGUUAUCCGGAAUUAUUGGGCGUAAAGAGCUCGUAGGCGGUUUGUCGCGUCUGCUGUGAAAGACCGGGGCUCAACUCCGGUUCUGCAGUGGGUACGGGCAGACUAGAGUGCAGUAGGGGAGACUGGAAUUCCUGGUGUAGCGGUGAAAUGCGCAGAUAUCAGGAGGAACACCGAUGGCGAAGGCAGGUCUCUGGGCUGUAACUGACGCUGAGGAGCGAAAGCAUGGGGAGCGAACAGGAUUAGAUACCCUGGUAGUCCAUGCCGUAAACGUUGGGCACUAGGUGUGGGGGACAUUCCACGUUUUCCGCGCCGUAGCUAACGCAUUAAGUGCCCCGCCUGGGGAGUACGGCCGCAAGGCUAAAACUCAAAGGAAUUGACGGGGGCCCGCACAAGCGGCGGAGCAUGCGGAUUAAUUCGAUGCAACGCGAAGAACCUUACCAAGGCUUGACAUGAACCGGUAAUACCUGGGAAACAGGUGCCCCGCUUGCGGUCGGUUUACAGGUGGUGCAUGGUUGUCGUCAGCUCGUGUCGNGAGAUGUUGGGUUAAGUCCCGCAACGAGCGCAACCNUCGUUCUAUGUUGCCAGCGGUUCCGGCCGGGGACUCAUA